rnacentral:rRNA from 1 species
UAAAGUUGUUGAGGUUAAAAAGCUGCGUAGUUCUUACCUUGGGCCUGGCUGCCCGGUCCGCCUCACCGCGUGCACUGGUCCGGCCGGGCCUUUCCCUCUGUGGAACCCCAUGCCCUUCACUGGGUGUGGCGGGGAAACAGGACUUUUACUUUGAAAAAAUUAGAGUGCUCCAGGCAGGCCUAUGCUCGAAUACAUUAGCAUGGAAUAAUGAAAUAGGACGUGCGGUUCUAUUUUGUUGGUUUCUAGGACCGCCGUAAUGAUUAAUAGGGACAGUCGGGGGCAUCAGUAUUCAAUUGUCAGAGGUGAAAUUCUUGGAUUUAUUGAAGACUAACUACUGCGAAAGCAUUUGCCAAGGAUGUUUUCAUUAAUCAGGAACGAAAGUUAGGGGAUCGAAGACGAUCAGAUACCGUCGUAGUCUUAACCAUAAACUAUGCCGACUAGGGAUCGG